UCUAAUGAUCUGUGCUCUGGUCAACAGUUUUGACACACUUUUGACAAGCUGAGAUGCUAGCUGACCAAGCUGUCCAAUGUGUCUCCCUCUCUGUCCUCUUUCUAUCUCCCUCCAUCCGUCUCUCUUUCAUUCUCUGGAGAGACAUAACCCAGAUUUUAAAAAUGAACUGCUGCCUAUCUCUCCUCAUCUACUCCCUGCUUCUCUCUCUCUCUGUCACUUUCUCUCUUUUUACCUCACACGCUCUUCCUGUUGGUAAAAACAGAAUCAAUCUUAGAAAGUGAAAAUCGCCUCAGUGUCUCUGCCCCUCUUCGUUCUCUAUUGGAUAAAGGAAUACAGAGUCCUCUACUCCUCCUCCAUAUUUCUGCAUUCCUGGAAAGCUUCACUCAACCUUCAACUUUCUUUCUCUUCUUUUUCUUUUUUUUUCCUUCGGGGGCUUUUCAAAGGGUUUUCCUUAUUUUUGGUUUUGGUUUCCUGCAUGAUCUCAAUUCUUCUACUUUUCAUGAGUCAGGGUUGACGAAGCCGUGAACCUGACGCCCACCUAGAGGAAGAGGGAGAACAGUGAGUGACCAUUUGACUAAAUCAUUUAGCAAAACAACCACAAUCAGCAUCACAAACUCUGAUCUCUACAUACACAAACCUUAUAAACAUUUCCUUUCCCCCCUUUCCAAUAAUUUUUGUUUUCUCCUUCACAAUUCAUCUUUUCUUUUAUUUCUCUACCAUCAUCUUCAUCUUGCCAUUCUUUUACCUUUCUUUGAACCUUCUUUCUCUCCCCCUGUCCCCAUCCUUCCUUCAGUGGCAUGUCUACACCAGUCUCUCCACCCCCCUCUCUUUCCCCACUGUCCUUGUCCUCUCCUUCUCCCUCCUCUUCUCCUUUGCCCUCUCCCCUCUCCCCACCCCCCAGGCUUCCAGUCUUCCAGAGGAAAGGAGCACUCAAGCACAAGAGGAUUGUUGAAGUGAAAGACCAUCAGUUCACAGCCCGCUUCUUCAAACAGCCCACCUUCUGCAGCCACUGCACAGACUUCAUUUGGGGUAUAGGAAAGCAAGGAUUCCAAUGCCAAGUUUGCAGUUUUGUGGUGCACAAACGCUGUCAUGAGUUUGUCACUUUUACAUGUCCAGGAAGCAUCACUGCACCAAAAGCAGAGGAUUUGAAGAGUAAACACAAGUUUAAGAUACACACUUACUCCAGCCCAACCUUCUGCGAUCACUGUGGUUCUCUACUCUAUGGCCUCAUUCACCAGGGCAUGAGAUGCACCAGCUGUGAGAUGAACGUUCAUAAGCGAUGUGAGAACAGUGUACCCAGUCUAUGUGGGCAUGACCACACUGAGAAAAGAGGACGGAUCCACCUGAGCGUGCGUGGAGAGAAGGAGGAUAUAUAUGUCACAGUACGUGAAGCACGGAACCUGAUUCCCAUGGACCCUAAUGGCUUGUCUGACCCCUAUGUGAAGCUCAAACUUAUUCCAGAUCCCAAAAGCCACAGCAAACAGAAAACCAAGACUAUUCGUUCCACUCUAAACCCUGUAUGGAAUGAAAGCUUUGUCUUUUCAGUGAGAGGCAGGCAGUGGGACAGGCGCUUGUCAAUAGAGGUAUGGGACUGGGAUCGCACAUCUCGAAACGACUUCAUGGGAGCUCUCUCCUUUGGAGUGAGUGAGAUAUUUCGUCGUCCUGUUAGUGGCUGGUUUAAACUGCUCAACCAGGAUGAGGGAGAGUACUACAAUAUCCCUGUACCCGAUCCAGACCUACAGGAGCCAGACUCUGCUGUCUCUCCCUCUCUUCUUCCUACUCCGGUUACUGUUCCUACACCUGUGCCUGCUGUCACCCCACCUGUUGUGAGUCCUGCACCCACCAGCUUACCAGUGGGAAAGGGACGAGUUAGACUACAGGACUUCAACUUCCUUAUGGUGCUAGGCAAGGGCAGCUUUGGCAAGGUGAUGCUGGCCGAGGAAAGAGGGAGCGACCGCUUGUUUGCGGUGAAGGUGCUGAAGAAAGAUGUGCUUUUUCAGGAUGAGGACACAGAGAGCGCAAUGGUGGAGCGGAGAGUUCUGGGAUUGAUUGGCCGUCCACACUUCCUCACAUCUCUCUUUUGCGCCUUCCAGACUGAGGAUCGUCUGUACUAUGUAAUGGAAUAUGUGAAUGGUGGAGAUCUCAUGUUCCAUAUUCAGAUUGUUGGAAAAUUUAAAGAGCCACAUGCUGCAUUCUAUGCAGCAGAGAUAGCUGUGGGCCUCUUCUUCUUGCACAGCAAAGGCAUCAUCUAUAGAGAUCUCAAACUGGAUAAUGUGCUGUUAGACAGUGAGGGCCACAUAAAGAUCGCUGAUUUUGGGAUGUGCAGGGAAGGCAUGAUGGAGGGAGACACCACACGGACAUUCUGUGGCACUCCGGACUACAUUGCUCCUGAGUCACCUGUCUCCUCAUACAAGAUGCAGUAUGUGUUCUGCUUUGUUCUCUUUCUCCCCCACUGUGCCUUUGAAAUUACUUAACACGUUGAUUCAAACUGUAUGUUCAGCCAUCAGUAUUCAUGUGUGUGCAUGUACAUUUGUGCCUGUGUAUGUAAAUAUGACUAUUCUCUCAUUCUAUGUAUGUCAUGGAAUGUGAUUUUGUAUAGGUGCACAAACAGUGAACAUGAAUCCUGCAUGCAUCAGCAUGUUAUUAUUAGAGGGGAUUCCAGCCCUAAUUUAAUAUUUUUAAUGCAUGAUGAGUGUGUUCUAUCAAAAAUAACAAAAAUAUAUUUUCUGGCAGAAUCCGCCUCAUACGAGUUCCCAAAAUGCAUAGCAAAUAUGCCAUCAUAAAGCCACAUACAUAGACUAAAUAUCUGCAGAGUGUACAUUCUUUUAAUGAAAAAAUUACUAUUGUGUCAGGGAAGAAACAAUGUGUUGCCAAGAGUCUGUGAGUCUCCCUGUAGUAGUAAAUCACAGUCAAAUCUUAUUCUAGUUAGAUUGGGUGGAAUUUUUUUAUGCUUACAGUCACUCAAAUCCUUCAUAUGUUCACAUGCUCCAACCUUAUUUUGAAGUUCUGCUUCAAUGGAGAGGGCUAAUGUUGGCUAAAUGCCUAAAACACAGACCAAGGAACACAAAUCAGUUUUGGUAACAAAAUAUUUUAAUUAUAUAACAAAAAAAUAUAGAGAACACAAAUCAGGUAGGAAAUUCAGACAUGUGCUCUUCACACUAAUUAGCUAAGGAUAGCCAGCUAGCUUACUGAUAUUCGCCUUAGAGCCAGUACCUGCUAAACCACCUAGCCAGUAAAAAUUAUAAGCACAUUCAGCUAGAGAGCUGUUAGAGAAGUUAACAAAGUUAACACCUUGUAAUGUCAAGGUGCAAAACUUACUGACAAAACUUACUCAGACUGAUUAAUAAACCAAUGUAUCAUUUUAGAUAUAUGAAUUCCAGAUUCUGAAAUAUACAGUGCUGUGAAAAAGUAUAUGAUUUCUUCUGUUUUUGUGUAUAUCUCAUACUAAAUCAUUUUACAUCUUCAAACAAAAUACAACAUAAAACCUGAGUAAACACACAAUACAGUUUUUAUUUAUUUAUUUUUAUGGAAGCAAAAAAGGCUAUCCAGCAUCUAUCACCCAUGUGAAAAACUAAUUGCCCCCUUAAAUUUAAAAUCUAGUUGUGCCACCUUUAGCAGCAAUAACUUCAACCGAACGCUUCCGAUAACUGGAGAUCAGUCUCUCACAUCACUGUGGUGGAAUUUUGGCACACUCUUCUUUGCAGAACUGCUUUAGUUCAGCCACCCUGAAGAGUUUUCAAGCAUGAACUGCUUGUUUAAGGUUCUGCCACAGAAGCUCAAUUGGUUCAAGUCAGGACUCUUGACUAGACCACUCCAAAACAUUAAUUUUGCUUUUUUAAAUUAAAAAUUGAAAUAGCUUUGUAACCCUACCCAGAAUGAUUCAUUUUAAUCACCUUCUUCCUCAUCAUUUCUGGAAUUUCUUUCAAUUUUGGUAUAGUGUGUUACUGGGUAAGACCGUUUAACCAAGUUCAUCCUGUUGAAAAAGUUCUAUUUAAACGCUGAUUUGAAUGAACUGGGUUCGCAGUAAGUCUGGUUGUGUCUAGUCCAGCUGAACCCCAUUAUGAAUGCAGUUUCAUAGAUUUGGGGAAUUAGUGAAUAUGGGAGCAAAUACAUUUUCACACAGGCCCAGCUGGUAUUGGAUAACUUUUUUGCUUCAGUAAAUAACAUUAUUAUUUAAAACUGUAUUUUGUGUUUACUCAGAUUGCCUUUGUUUUAUUUUAGAUUUAGUUUUCAUUUCUGAAACAAUUUAGUAUAUAGAAGAAAUCAGGAUGGGGCAAAUACUUGUUUACAGCACUGUACACUAUAUGACUUAAAGUUUUUUGACACCUGACCUUCACACCCAUAUGUGUUUUCUGAAAAUCCCAUUUCAGAUUUAGUCCCUGUUUGCAGUUAUACUAACCUCCACUCUUCUGGGAAUGUUUUCCAUUAGAUUUUGGAGUGUGGAUGUGAGGAUUUCCCCAUUUAGCCACAAGAGCAUUAGUGAGGACGAGCAAUAAUGUGGGAAGUGUAGUCGGUAUUCCAAUUCAUCCCAAAGAUGUUCAGUGGGGUUGAGGUCAGGGUUUGUGCAGGUCACUUGAUUUAUUUCACUCCACACUUGGCAAAACAUGUCUUUAUGGACCUAGCUUUGUAUACAGAGGCAUUGUCAUGCUGAGACACGUUUGAAAUCCUUAAUUCCAGUGAAGGGAAAUUGUAAUGCUACAGCGUACAAAGACAUCAUAUACAACUGUGUGCUUCCAACUUUGUUGCAAUAGUUUGAGGAAGGCCAACAUUUUGGUAUGAUCAUCAGUUGUCCACAAACUUUUGGCCAUAUAGUGCAAUUCCAACAUCUCUGUCCCUAUGGGGACUAAAUCCUUCAGAUCACAUGGGAUGCAAACAAGUUGUACAUUAAUACAUUCACAGUAAUACUUUGCAUGGCACAAAACACUUUUGCUCAUAUUCCCCUUUAAUUGAGCCGUUAAAAUCACUGUAAUUGACUGUCAUGGUAGUGAGGAAAUUAAUCUCUUACUCAUGCUCACAUACACACACACAGUGUACAUAUAUUUGCCUCUAAAUUGCACACUUAAGCUUGCCUUCUCAUUAACUAUGCUUAUUUAAUUUCUUUAUGAUCAUUUUUUCAUAGACUCAAGACAGCAGUGUAUCUACUCUGAUGGAGUCACCCAGGAAUAAUUAGUUGUAUUCUUUGUUACUCCUUAUUAAAAAAGAUAAUAUAAUCUUUGUUGUAAACAUUUAAAAACAUUAAGGCUUAUCACCUUCAUACUCAUAUUGAAGUUUCUUAUAACCUUAAGGGAAAAAUCCACCCUGAAUGACAGUAUUUAUAAUCAGUAUAUCAGUAUUUAUAAUAAAUAUGUGAUUUUCAAUUGUGCAAAAGGAUACAUGUCUUUGUCACCACUAUUUCUACUUUGAAUUUCUUAUUAAAAUCCACAAGAAUGCAAAGGAGCUAUAGAUACACCAGGCAAGGUCCAAAUGUGGAAGAAAACAGAAGCAGGUGCAAUUCACAGACACAGAGGCUGGUGAGACACAGGAGAACUCCAGACAGGAAGCACACCACACUACUGGGGAUCUCUCUGCACCUACUUCCUCCUUAAACUACAUGGAGGACCAGAUCACCGUCACCCAAGAAAACCCAUCCCAACCUACUAGGGAAAGAAUCCAUUGGCCCAAAUUGAACAACAUCAAGUGGUCCAGAUUUGAGGAGGAUCUGGAGUCAAUCCUCGAGGCAACUCUAGUAGUAAUGGCAGAAAAAUUGGAUAAUCUAUCAACCCUCAGUUACAACUUAUCAAGAUAAGGUAUGGGGGAUGGAGAUGAAGGGAAUUAAAUCCAGUUGUCAGAGUCUGUCAGAAUUUUGAGUCAGAGGCAGUUAAACAUUUAAUCUGUGAAACACAUGGAACUAAACUCUAGAACAUGAGCAAUACCUUACUAAACAAUGAAACAUACAUAAAACAUGAAGUAAAGGUGAGAAAAGCUAGACAACAAGUGCUACCAAAGACAGAACUUAAAUACCAGUGCUCAUUAGAUUACAGCUUGACUCAGGUGCAAGUGAUAAAUGUGAAGUGCAGGGGCUGUUCUGUGCUGUUUUUGGCACUGACCCUGCAGCAGGCAAGAACCACCUUCUCACUGAGGCAGGUGGUGGUGGUGGGGUCACAACAUGCUUCCCAAAGAUAGUUGAUGAAUUCGUCCGGAUACACAAGACCCUGUCGGCCUUGGGCAUGUCUUGCCACAUCCCAGACCACAUCUUGAACAUGAGCACCAGUAACUUCAAACACAUUUGGUUGUAUUUCUGAACCAUUAACUUGACAAAAAGUGGCAGUCCAUGGAAAAAGGUAUCAUAGCAGGAUGUACAAUUUCCCCCAUAUUGUUCCUUAUGGGAAUGAACCUGAUUAUUACAGCACCUAGAAAAAAAUUACAGAGGACCAAAAACUGCCUCAUCAAACAGUCAGGGGAUUCAUGGAUGACAUUACCAUGCAUGUUCAAGCAAGGUGGAUCCUGAAGCAACUGGACCAAAUUGCCAAUUGGGCCAGGAUGACCUUAAAUCCCAUGAAAUCAAGGAGUCUGGGAAUCAGGCUGAGGAAACUGCACAAUCAAUGUGGAGUCUGAUGACUAAGAUGGGAUUCAGAGGCUGUAACUGACAAACAGCAGCCUAGAGGUUGGAAGAAUCUGUGGAAAGAGCCUUCUAUUAGCUUUGGCACAGAAGGGAACAGAUGAACUGGAAGCUAGCAGGAGAGGGGCAGUGAUUUGGCCACCACUGCUGACCCACCAGCUGGAGAAAGUCAUGGUUAAAGGUCAAAACACUUGUUGAAAGUUGGGUGCCACCUGAUGACAUCUACUCCUGGCCAAGGCUACAAACAGACUAGAUGGUUGUCUGAAGGGCAUCCUGCAGAUGCAUUGAAAUCAUUUGAUUUGAAGGUCGCUGGAAAAUGAUUGUAGCAUAUCAGCCAUACGGUAAAGCAGUAGACUGGUGGUCGUAUGGGGUUCUCCUCUAUGAAAUGCUUGCUGGGCAGCCUCCAUUUGAUGGGAUCGAUGAAGAGGAGCUG